rnacentral:rRNA from 1 species
CGCGGGCUAUACAUGCAAGUCGAGCGGACAGAAGGGAGCUUGCUCCCGGAUGUUAGCGGCGGACGGGUGAGUAACACGUGGGUAACCUGCCUGUAAGACUGGGAUAACUCCGGGAAACCGGAGCUAAUACCGGAUAGUUCCUUGAACCGCAUGGUUCAAGGAUGAAAGACGGUUUCGGCUGUCACUUACAGAUGGACCCGCGGCGCAUUAGCUAGUUGGUGGGGUAAUGGCUCACCAAGGCGACGAUGCGUAGCCGACCUGAGAGGGUGAUCGGCCACACUGGGACUGAGACACGGCCCAGACUCCUACGGGAGGCAGCAGUAGGGAAUCUUCCGCAAUGGACGAAAGUCUGACGGAGCAACGCCGCGUGAGUGAUGAAGGUUUUCGGAUCGUAAAGCUCUGUUGUUAGGGAAGAACAAGUGCGAGAGUAACUGCUCGCACCUUGACGGUACCUAACCAGAAAGCCACGGCUAACUACGUGCCAGCAGCCGCGGUAAUACGUAGGUGGCAAGCGUUGUCCGGAAUUAUUGGGCGUAAAGGGCUCGCAGGCGGUUUCUUAAGUCUGAUGUGAAAGCCCCCGGCUCAACCGGGGAGGGUCAUUGGAAACUGGGAAACUUGAGUGCAGAAGAGGAGAGUGGAAUUCCACGUGUAGCGGUGAAAUGCGUAGAGAUGUGGAGGAACACCAGUGGCGAAGGCGACUCUCUGGUCUGUAACUGACGCUGAGGAGCGAAAGCGUGGGGAGCGAACAGGAUUAGAUACCCUGGUAGUCCACGCCGUAAACGAUGAGUGCUAAGUGUUAGGGGGUUUCCGCCCCUUAGUGCUGCAGCUAACGCAUUAAGCACUCCGCCUGGGGAGUACGGUCGCAAGACUGAAACUCAAAGGAAUUGACGGGGGCCCGCACAAGCGGUGGAGCAUGUGGUUUAAUUCGAAGCAACGCGAAGAACCUUACCAGGUCUUGACAUCCUCUGACAACCCUAGAGAUAGGGCUUUCCCUUCGGGGACAGAGUGACAGGUGGUGCAUGAUGUCGUCAGCUCGUGUCGUGAGAUGUUGGGUAGUCCCGCACGAGCGCACCUUGAUCUAGUGCCAGCAUUCAGUGGCACUCUAGUGACUGCAUGACAACCGAGAAGGGGGGGAAUGAACGUCAAUCAUC